GAUUUAUUAUUCUCGUUCGGCCGCUUGCUUCACACUGCUGCAGACGCCGGUGAUUCGGGAGUAAUAUCAUGAAUUAGGCGAGAACUGCAGGAGUAAUAAAGAAUAUUUAACAAAAGGCAUCUUCAUUGAGGAGGAUCACCACUCUCCUGUAAGCAGCUCUCCAACCCUGAGAAGCUGAAGAUCUGCAGUCUGCACCAACAACAAUGGAGAUGUUCCAGAAUCCUCAGAGACCUUCUAGGAAGUUGUUUCCGUUUGCUUUCAUCGCAGUGUGGCUUUUCGUUACCAUUUCCUCUGAUGAAGAUUACUACAAGCUGCUAGGUAUUUCAAGAGAGGCCAGCACUCGUGAGAUUCGGCAGGCUUUCAAAAAGCUUGCUCUCACAAUGCAUCCGGAUAAAAACCCGAAUGAUGCAACGGCCCACGAGAAGUUCUUGAAGAUCAAUCGGGCCUACGAGGUGUUAAAGGAUGAGGACUUGAGGAAGAAAUAUGACAAGUAUGGAGAGAAGGGCCUGCAAGAUGAACAGCAAGGAGGAAGAUAUGAAAGCUGGAACUAUUACAGAUAUGAUUUUGGAAUUUAUGAUGAUGAUCCAGAAAUUACUACACUAGACAGAGGGGACUUUGAUGCAGCUGUAAAUUCUGGCGAGGUCUGGUUUGUGAAUUUCUAUUUCCCACGCUGCUCGCACUGUCACGAUCUUGCCCCCACGUGGCGGGAGUUUGCUAACGAAAUGGACGGUGUGAUUCGAAUCGGCGCUGUGAACUGCGGUGAUAAUGGCAUGUUGUGCCGUAGUAAAGGCAUCAACAGCUACCCCAGCCUCUAUGUGUUCAGAGCGGGAAUGAAGCCAGAGAAAUACUAUAGCGACAGAACAAAAUCAAGCCUGACCACAUUUGCAAUGCAGUUUGUGAAGAGCAAAGUAACAGAGCUAUGGCAAGGGAAUAUUUUUAAUGAGAUUGAUCGAGCAUUUGCCGAAAGAAUCGGCUGGUUGAUAUCUUUCUGCGCUGACACUGGAGAUUGUCUGGAACCUCAAACAAGGCUGAAGCUUGCUGGAAUGUUGAAUGGUCUGGUCAAUGUAGGAUGGAUGGAUUGCUCCAAACAGGCAGAUCAGUGUGACAGCUUUGAGAUCACCACUAGCACUACUGUCCUCUUUCCCCCUGGCAGUUCCCUUGCUCAGAAAGGCAGCGUAAUGUUUAUCCAGAGUUUGGAUACUAAAGAAAUAUAUGCACAAGUGUUGCAGCAUCUGCCUGACUUGGAGAUUCUUACAAAGAGCAGCUUUGAGCAUAAAUUGGCUCAUCACCAAUGGCUCAUCAGUUUCUCCUUUGGACAAAAUGAUCUGGCAUCACAUGAAUAUAAAAAACUCAAAGCUCUUCUGAAAGGCUCUCACAUACAGGUGGGGAAGGUGGACUGUGUCGCAGAUUCAGAGCUGUGUGCUUCUCUGUAUAUACAGAAGCCCUGUGUGGCUGUUUUUAAAGGAGUUGGAACUCAUGACUUUGAGAUUCACCAUGGUAAGGAUGCCCUGUACAAUGUUGUGGCCUUUGCAAAAGAGAGCGUGAAUGCCCACGUCACCACGCUGAGGCCUGAGAACUUCCCCAGCCAUGAGAAAGAGCCCUGGCUGGUUGAUUUCUUUGCACCUUGGUGUCCGCCAUGUCGAGCUCUUCUCCCCGAGUUGAGAAAAGCCUCCGUCCAACUCUUUGGACAGCUGAAGUUUGGGACUCUGGACUGUACUGUGCACGAGAGGCUCUGCAAUAUGUACAACAUUCAUGCAUAUCCAACAACUGUCAUCUUCAAUAAGUCCAGCAUCCAUGAGUAUGAAGGCCAUCAUUCUGCAGACGGUAUCCUGGAGUUCAUAGAGGACCUGGUGAACCCUGUGGUGGUGACUUUGACCUCAGAGUCAUUCCAGGAGCUGGUGGAGAAACGCAAGUCCUCAGAGACGUGGAUGGUGGAUUUCUAUGCUCCAUGGUGUGGCCCCUGCCAGGCCCUACUGCCAGAGUGGAGGAGAAUGGCACGGAUGCUGAGUGGGAUUGUAAACGUGGGAACGGUUGACUGCCAGAAACACCACUCGUUCUGCCAGGGCGAGAAUGUGCGCGCUUACCCAGAGAUCCGCCUGUUUCCUCAGAACAGCAACCGCAGGGACCAGUACCAGAGUUACAAUGGGUGGCACCGGGAUGCCUUUUCACUCAAGACUUGGGCCUUGAGCUCUCUGCCUCGUGCCUCAGUGGAUCUGUCACCUGAGGACUUUAAGAGAAAGGUUUUGGGAGGGAAGGAUCACUGGGUGUUGGAUUUCUACGCCCCAUGGUGUGGCCCAUGCCAGCAAUUUGCCCCUGAGUUUGAAGUUCUUGCCAGGAUGAUGAAGGGAACUGUGCGAGCUGGCAAAGUGGACUGUCAAGCACACUACCAGACCUGCCAGAGCGCCGGGAUCAAGGCUUACCCCAGUGUCCGAUUCUACCCCCACCUGGGCACCACACGGCGAGAUCAAGGAGGAGAGCAUAUUAACAGCAGAGACGCCACAGUCAUCGCAGAUAUUCUCCGACAGAGACUCCAGCAGCUAGCAUUACUGGGAAAGUCCUCCAAACUUAAAGAUGAACUAUAGGACACAUCUUGAGAUCCACAGAAGCUGCUGUAUGUGGAGCGGUGAGAGUGAUGGGAGAAAACGCACACUCAUGAACUCACUUUGGUGUGAAUGUUCUCCAGGUGGCCACUAGGAGGCGAUGAUUUAACAUCAAUGGCUUCAAGUCCUCAUAGGCCUGUGAAGUGACAUGUUGGCAGUCAUUGUCAUGGAUAUUCACUAUUGUUUUGUAGAAAUAACAGCUAUUAAACAUGACACAAUUCUCGUUUAUGCUGAACACUGCUUUCUGAUAUUUUGCUACUGAGUUGUCACAAUUCUAUAAAGCACACAUCAACUAAAUUUCUAAUAUUUCCUGAGAAAACAGGAUAAAUAUUGUUACAGCGUUCUAAUGAUUACUUUAAGUUGUGAAGUGGGUCAACUUAUAAGGUUAUCAGUAAGAAUGUAAUGUUUUAUGACCCUUUAUCACUCUCUUUGAAUUAAACAGGCCUUCUCUCCCCUUAUUUGCACA